rnacentral:rRNA from 1 species
CCAAUAGCGUAUAUUAAGGUUGCUGCGGUUAAAAAGCUCGUAGUUGAAUUUCGGGAUUGAUGCAUCGGUCGUGCCUUAAGGGGCAUGAACUGGUGUGGUCAAUUUCUUACCUUCUGGUGAAUUGUGAUGUCCUCCUUAAUUGGGUGUUUCAAUGAACUAGGACUUUUUACUUUGAAAAAAUUAGAGUGUUUAAAGCAGGCAUUAUUUGCUUGAAUACAUUAGCAUGGAAUAAUAAAAUAGGACAAUGAUUCUAUUUUGUUGGUUUCUAGGAUCACUGUAAUGAUUAAUAGGGAUAGUUGGGGGCAUUAGUAUUCAAUUGUCAGAGGUGAAAUUCUUGGAUUAAUUGAAGACUAACUACUGCGAAAGCAUUUGCCAAGGAUAUUUUCAUUAAUCAAGAACGAAAGUUAGGGGAUCGAAGACGAUUAGGUACGUCGUAGUCUUAACCAUAAACUAUGCCGACUAGGAAUCAGACAACGUUAAAUUUUUAAUGACUUGUUUGGCACCUUACG